rnacentral:rRNA from 1 species
CACGGGGGGGAGCAAGCGUUGUUCGGAAUCACUGGGCGUAAAGGGCGUGUAGGCGGUCAAGUAAGUGGGAUGUGAAAUCCCUCGGCUCACCCGAGGACCUGCAUCCCAAACUGCUUGGCUUGAGUAUGGGAGAGGAUGAGGGAAUUCCUGGUGUAGCGGUGAAAUGACGCAGAUAUCAGGAGGAACACCGGUGGCGAAGGCGGGUCUCUGGGCCGAUACUGACGCUGGAGGAGCGAAAAGCGUGGGGAGCGAACAGG